rnacentral:tRNA from 1 species
GGGGAUGUAGCUCAGUGGUACAAUAUCUGCUUUGCAUGUAGAAGUUCCCAGGUUCAACCCCUGGCAACACCA